GGAGGUUGGCUUAGAAGCAGCCAUCCUUGAAAGAGUGCGUAAUAGCUCACUGGUCAAGUGGUUCUGCGCCGACAAUGUAGCGGGGCUCAAGCGUACCGCCGAAGCUGUGGCAACAACGCGUUGUGCUGGCGCCAGGAACUGGAGUGCUGGUGUGUUGUUGGGUAGGGGAGCGUCCUGCACGAGGUGAAGCCUGGAGGUGACUUCUGGUGGAUUGUGUGGGAGUGAGAAUGCAGGCAUGAGUAACGAAUCUGCGGUGAGAAUCCGCAGCGCCGAUUGACUAAGGGUUCCAGGGCUAGGUUUAUCCGCCCUGGGUUAGUCGGGUCCUAAGGCGAGGCCGACAGGCGUAGUCGAUGGACAACCAGUUGAUAUUCUGGUACCGCGUUGUGACCGCCCAUGCUGAAGUCAUUGUGCUAACCAAUUUGCCCGCCACCUGCUGGGCCUUCGGGUUUGGUGGUGUGUGUGGGUCUUGGGGUCCCGGUGAUUGUAGGCAAGCGUGUUAACAGGGGUGACGCAGACAGGUAGCUGCAGUGCGCCGAUGGUUGUGCGUAUUUAAGGUUGUGGCCCGUCCCCCAGGUAAAUCCGGGGGGCACUAGGGGUGAGAACUGAUGAGGGUGACACGGCUUGUGUUGUCUUGUGGUGAUCCUAUGCUGCCAAGAAAAGCCUCGACGUGAGGGCAUGACGCGCCCGUACCCUAAACCGACUCAGGUGGUCAGGUAGAGUAUACCGAGGCGUUCGAGUGAAUCAUGGUUAAGGAACUCGGCAAAAUUCCUCCGUAACUUCGGGAUAAGGAGGACCCCUUGACUUUCCUGCACCGCGCGUGUGGGUGGGGUUGGGGGGUCGCAGAGAAUAGGGAGAAGCGACUGUUUAUCAAAAACACAGGUGCGUGCGAAGCCGUAAGGCGAUGUAUACGCACUGACGCCUGCCCGGUGCUGGAAGGUUAAGAGGAACCGUCAACACCCCCUUCGGGUGUGAAGCGGUGAAUUUAAGCCCCAGUAAACGGCGGUGGUAACUAUAACCAUCCUAAGGUAGCGAAAUUCCUUGUCGGGUAAGUUCCGACCUGCACGAAUGGCGUAACGACUUCUCCGCUGUCUCAACCGUGAACUCGGUGAAAUUGCAGUACGAGUAAAGAUGCUCGUUUCGCGCAGAAGGACGGAAAGACCCCGGGACCUUUACUAUAGCUUGGUAUUGGUGUUCGCUUGGACUUGUGUAGGAUAGGUGGGAGACUGUGAAGCUGCCGCGCCAGCGGUGGUGGAGUCGUCGUUGAAAUACCAUUCUGGUUCAAGCGGUCACCUUAACCUUGGCCCGUGAUCCGGGUUGGGGACAGUGCCUGGUGGGUAGUUUAACUGGGGCGGUUGCCUCCUAAAAUGUAACGGAGGCGCUCAAAGGUUCCCUCAGCCUGGUUGGUAAUCAGGUGGCGAGUGCAAGUGUACAAGGGAGCUUGACUGUGAGACCGACGGGUCGAGCAGGUGCGAAAGCAGGAACUAGUGAUCCGGCCAUGGCACGUGGGUGCGUGGUCGCUCAACGGAUAAAAGGUACCCCGGGGAUAACAGGCUGAUCUUGCCCAAGAGUCCAUAUCGACGGCAUGGUUUGGCACCUCGAUGUCGGCUCGUCGCAUCCUGGGGCUGGAGUCGGUCCCAAGGGUUGGGCUGUUCGCCCAUUAAAGCGGUACGCGAGCUGGGUUCAGAACGUCGUGAGACAGUUCGGUCCCUAUCCUCUGUGCGCGCAGGAAAUUUGAGAAGGGCCGUCCCCAGUACGAGAGGACCGGGAUGGACGAACCUCUGGUGUGCCAGUUGUACCGCCAGGUGCAUGGCUGGUUAGCUACGUUCGGAAGGGAUAACCGCUGAAAGCAUCUAAGCGGGAAGCCUGCUUCAAGAUGAGGUUUCCACGCCCCCCUGUGGGGUGAGAGGCCCCCGCCAGACUAGCGGGUAGAUAGGCCAGAGGUGGAAGCACCGCAAGGUGCUCGUGAGCCGACUGGUACUAAUGGGCCAACACUAAACAAC
rnacentral:rRNA from 1 species